GGUUUCUAGGACCGCCGUAAUGAUUAAUAGGGACAGUCGGGGGCAUCAGUAUUCAAUUGUCAGAGGUGAAAUUCUUGGAUCUAUUGAAGACUAACUACUGCGAAAGCAUUUGCCAAGGAUGUUUUCAUUGAUAAGGAACGAAAGUUAGGGGAUCGAAGACGAUCAGAUACCGUCGUAGUCUUAACUAUAACCUAUGCCGACUAGGGAUCGGACGAUGUUAUUCUUUGACGCGUUCGGCACCUUUCGAGAAAUCAAAGUGCUUGGGCUCCAGGGGAGUAUGGUCGCAAGGCUGAAACUUAAAGAAAUUGACGGAAGGGCAC
rnacentral:rRNA from 1 species